GUCCUCUUUUUGGUGGUCCUGUGGUGUGAUUUAAUAUGAAAAGGCAUUAAGAAUGCUAUCCUAUUUCCUCUUUCUAUUUUGGUGUUUCAAAAUCUUCCUCUCUGUGUACCAUUCAUUCGAGAUAAAUGAAUUGAAUCAUAUGCAUGUUUGCCUCCAGAUUCUAUACUUUAAUUGCCCAACUAUUGCAUCUAAUGAUAAGUAUCAGAGGAACAAUAUC
rnacentral:lncRNA from 1 species